GUCUUGCCAAAGGCAUCGCUGGGUAGCUAUGUGUGGACGGGAUAAGUGCUGAAAGCAUCUAAGCAUGAAGCCCCCCUCAAGAUGAGAUUUCCCAUUACGCAAGUAAGUAAGAUCCCUCAAAGACGAUGAGGUAGAUAGGUUCGAGGUGGAAGUGUGGUGACACAUGGAGCUGACGAAUACUAAUCGAUCGAGGACUUAACCAAAA
rnacentral:rRNA from 1 species